UACGUAGGGGGCAAGCGUUGUCCGGAUUCAUUGGGCGUAAAGAGCGUGUAGGCGGCCAGGUAGGUCGGUUGUGAAAACUGGAGGCUCAACCUUCAGAGGUCGACCGAAACCAUCUGGCUAGAGUCCGGGAGAGGAGAGUGGAAUUCCUGGUGUAGCGGUGAAAUGCGCAGAUAUCAGGAGGAACACCGAUUGCGAAGGCAGCUCGCUGGGACGUAACUGACGCUGAGACGCGAAAGCGUGGGGAGCAAACAGG
rnacentral:rRNA from 1 species